rnacentral:lncRNA from 1 species
GAAGGGAGGCUGCUAGGACACAUUACUCUGGAGGCAGAAACCUCCAAGUAUCUUGUUCAUCCCAAGUGGAAGGUGCCUCGUGCCAGCUGCAGGUGUGUGUGCGAGCUCGUGCCUGCACGUGGAGCGCGGGCCCCUCUUCCCGCGCGGUUCUUGCGGUGCCUGGCACCAGAUGCCGCGCCGUGGGCGUGGGGGUGGUCCGCCUUGAGGGUCAGCGGGCUGCCCAGGGGCUCAGCUCCCUGGCCCCGUGGCCUCCGGAUCACCUCUCUGCAGGGAGGUUUCCGUCAGUCCCCGUGUGCUCUUAGUUAUUCCUCUGCCGUACUGGCCGGCUCUGGGCGUCUUUCUCAUUCUUUGCCUAGUCUUCUGGUCCCACCAGCCCAGCCUCACUCUGCCAGAAGCCCAGGCCGGGGUCUGCGGGAGAGAGACAGGGGCUGGGCUGCUGGGACCUGCGCCGGGGAGUGCUUGGGCGGCCGCCUCUGCUCACCCUGGCAGUCCCUGCGUUCAGUGAACCUGGUUGCUACCAGAUCCCAGUCCCAGCACACACACUCCCUGUGUGCGUCCCGAGCGAGCAGGGCUUUUCCUGUGGAAUUCUCCAGGAACGUGGCUUCUAAGGGGUUCGAGCUUCUAAAAAUCAAAUCGCAGUCUUCUCCAGAGAAGUAUGGCACACGAGGCCCUUCAGCGGGACUGCUGAAACGGGCGCGACCACGCCAGGUCGGGAUACCCGGGGAAGGCCUGGAUGCUCAGUGGAGCAUGCCGAACUGCCACAUUUAGACAGAAAUGCUGUUUCUGAAACAAAAGAAUAUUCAAUUUUUUUUAUUUGAGAGGCAGAGAGAGAGAGCGCUCCUAUCCACUCGUUCAUUCCCAGAUGCCUGCCACUUCCAGGCGAGGCCAGGGCUGGGGCUGAAGCCAGGGAAUGCAGUGCAGGCGUCCCGCCCCGCCCCGCCCCGCCCCGCGUGUGUGGCCGGGACCUGAUUGCUUUGCCAUCGCUGCAGCCUCCUGGGAUCUGCAUUAGCGGGAAGCUGGAGUCAGGAGUCAGAGCGGGGAAUGGAAGGAAACCCAGGCACUUGGCUGUCCUAACUGCUAGGCUGAGCGGCUGUGCCAACAAGGUGGAUUUGACAAUAUGAAUUAAUGAGUGGCGAAGUGUGAUUGAUCUUCCAGGGCUUGCUUUAAGGAUAGGUUUAUAAAUAGCACAUCAGUUUUCUGUGGCCUGGUUUGGUGCUGAUUAAGUUAAACUUCUUUUAAAAAGGUUUAUUUUCUUUAGAAGGUUAAACAUUUGCCUUGCAAUUGUAUUUACUCCAUCAACUUGCUUAGCAAGGCUUUUUAAAUAUGUAGUCCAAAGGCCAAUCACAAAGUUCUGUAUCGCCGUGAGUUCAGAGUUACAGGGACCUAAAUUCCCAGCUAAUGAUGGCUUUUUAUUUUUAUUUUUGUUUAAGACUUAUUUAUUUAUUUGAAAGACAGAGUUACAGAGAGGCAGAGGCAAAGAGAAGGAGAGAGAGCUUCCAUCUGCUGGUUCCCUCCCCAAAUGGCCACAAUGGCAGGAGCUGUGCCAAUCCAAAGCCAGGAGCCAGGAGACUCCUCUGGGUCUCCCAGUUGGGUGCAGAGGCCCAAGGACUUGGGCCAUCUCCCACUGCCUUCCCAGGCCGUAGCCGAGAGCUGGAUCAGAAGUGGAGCAGCUGGACUUGAACCGGCGCCCAUGUGGGAUGCUGGCACUGCAGGUGGGGCCUUUACCCGCUACGCCACAGCGCUGGCCCCAUUAGUGAUGUCUUACCCUAUCUGCAGUGUGGUGUCUGUAGGAAUUAGCUUAUGUGAGGGACACUGAAGUGUAAACAGUUAGACUUCCAGGAACUGUCCUGCUGAAACCCAUCAUCAUACAGGCCUGGUAGACAGGUGUCUACCACAGUGCCUAACAGGAACUGAGAUUCUGAGUCGUCUUCCGUUAAUGAUAAUUUGAGGGUGGGCAUUUGGCACAGUGGUUAAGGUGCUGCCUGGGACACCUGCGUAACUUGCUGGAGUGCCUGGGUUCAAGUUCCAAACUGCCUUUGCUUCCAUCUUCUGGCUAACAUGGCCCCUGGACGACUCAAGUACUUGGGUCCUGGCUACCUACGUGACAGACCUGAGUUGACUUCCAGUCUCCUGACUUUGGCCUGGUCCAGCCCUGGUGGUCGCUGGCCCUUGGGGAGUGAACCAGCAGGUGGAGGACCUCUCUGUGUCUGUCUGUGUCUUCCUCUCUCUGUCUCUCAAAUAAAAAUAAAUAAAGAUUUUAAAAAGGAGAAUUU